GACACUCGACAAUGUGUAUCUCGGCUCUCACAUCGAUGAAGAACAUAGCGAAAUACGAUACUUUGUGUGAAUUGCAGAAUCUCGUAAACCAUUGAGUCUUUGAACACAAGUUGCGCCCAAAGCCAUUAGGCUAAGGGCACGUCUGCCAAGGUGCCA
rfam:Capsicum annuum cultivar Zunla-1 chromosome 2, whole genome shotgun sequence